UACGAAGGGGUGCAAGCGUUUGUUCGGAAUCAUUGGGCGUAAAGCGCGCGCAGGCGGAUCAGCAAGUCAGAUGUGAAAUCUCGAGGCUCAACCUCGAAAACUGCGUCUGAAACUGCUAGUCUAGAAUAUCGGAGGGGGGAAGGGGAAUUUUCACGUGUAGGGGUAAAAAUCCGUAGAGAUGUGAAGGAACACCGGGGGCGGAAGGCGCCUUCCUGGACGAUUAUUGACGCUGAGGCGCGAAAGCGUGGGGAGCAAACAGG
rnacentral:rRNA from 1 species